UGCCACAGCCAUGUCACCCUGCAGCCCAAGACCGGUUACUCACUGAAGCUAAGCAGGGCUGAGCCUGGUCAGUACCUGGAUGGGAGACCACUAGGGAACAUUAGGUUGCUGUUGGAA
rfam:Danio rerio chromosome 7, GRCz11 reference primary assembly.